rnacentral:rRNA from 1 species
AGAGUUUGAUCCUGGCUCAGGACGAACGCUGGCGGCGUGCCUAACACAUGCAAGUCGAGCGGGGGACUUCGGUCCCUAGCGGCGGACGGGUGAGUAACACGUGAGCAACCUGCCUCAUAGAGGGGGAUAGCCUCCCGAAAGGGAGAUUAAUACCGCAUAUACUCUUUUCAUCACAUGAUGUUUAGAGGAAAGGAGAAAUCCGCUAUGAGAUGGGCUCGCGGCGCAUUAGCUAGUUGGUGAGGUAACGGCUCACCAAGGCCACGAUGCGUAGCCGACCUGAGAGGGUGAUCGGCCACAUUGGAACUGAGACACGGUCCAGACUCCUACGGGAGGCAGCAGUGGGAAUAUUGCACAAUGGGCGAAAGCCUGAUGCAGCAACGCCGCGUGAGUGAAGAAGGCCUUCGGGUUGUAAAGCUCUGUCUUUUGGGACGAUAAUGACGGUACCAAAGGAGGAAGCCACGGCUAACUACGUGCCAGCAGCCGCGGUAAUACGUAGGUGGCAAGCGUUGUCCGGAUUUACUGGGCGUAAAGGAUGCGUAGGUGGAUAUUUAAGUGGGAUGUGAAAUACCCGGGCUUAACCUGGGUGCUGCAUUCCAAACUGGAUGUCUAGAGUGCAGGAGAGGUAAGUGGAAUUCCUAGUGUAGCGGUGAAAUGCGUAGAGAUUAGGAAGAACACCAGUGGCGAAGGCGACUUACUGGACUGUAACUGACACUGAGGCAUGAAAGCGUGGGGAGCAAACAGGAUUAGAUACCCUGGUAGUCCACGCCGUAAACGAUGGGUACUAGGUGUGGGGGUUGUCAUGACUUCCGUGCCGCCGUUAACACAAUAAGUACCCCGCCUGGGGAGUACGGUCGCAAGAUUAAAACUCAAAGGAAUUGACGG